rnacentral:rRNA from 1 species
GACGAACACUGGCGGCGUGCUUAACACAUGCAAGUCGAACGGAAAGGCCCUGCUUUUGUGGGGUGCUCGAGUGGCGAACGGGUGAGUAACACGUGAGUAACCUGCCCUUGACUUUGGGAUAACUUCAGGAAACUGGGGCUAAUACCGGAUAGGAGCUCCUGCUGCAUGGUGGGGGUUGGAAAGUUUCGGCGGUUGGGGAUGGACUCGCGGCUUAUCAGCUUGUUGGUGGGGUAGUGGCUUACCAAGGCUUUGACGGGUAGCCGGCCUGAGAGGGUGACCGGCCACAUUGGGACUGAGAUACGGCCCAGACUCCUACGGGAGGCAGCAGUGGGGAAUAUUGCACAAUGGGCGGAAGCCUGAUGCAGCAACGCCGCGUGCGGGAGGACGGCCUUCGGGUUGUAAACCGCCUUCGCCUGUGACGAAGCGUGAGUGACGGUAAUGGGUAAAGAAGCACCGGCUAACUACGU